rnacentral:antisense_RNA from 2 species
CUUCAGCGAACCCAGGUAGAGCGGCUCGCCACCGGAACGUUCCUGCCCGUACGUGGCCAGCAGCGCCUGCGCCUC